rnacentral:lncRNA from 1 species
GGUUUGCACCCACGCAAGUUAGCUCACUAGCAAUGGCCAACACUUCGAACGUGGCACAAGAGGGUGUUGUUGGUGUGGAUGUUCCACUGGAGCCAAGCCGCGGCCGUGACGUAGAACGAGGCCAGGUCAAGACUCGUACCAAGUCUAAGGCCCCCUCUGUGGAUGCAUUGGAGCCUCGUGUGAACACUCUCGAAAAUGUGUUCUCCGCCACUCAAGAAAGCCUCGAGGGAUUGGAGGAACGAGUGGAUGGUCUCGAGGGAGAAUACGCCGAUUUCACGGUGGCAACAAAGGCACUCAUCCA